rnacentral:rRNA from 1 species
AAUAUUGGACAAUGGGGGCAACCCUGAUCUAGCCAUGCCGCGUGUGUGAAGAAGGUCUUCGGAUUGUAAAGCACUUUAAGUUGGGAGGAAGGGCUUUAGGUUAAUACCCUGAAGUUUUGACGUUACCAACAGAAUAAGCACCGGAUAAAUCUGUGCCAGCAGCCGCGGGAAUACAGAGGGUGCAAGCGUUAAUCGGAAUUACUGGGCGUAAAGCGAGCGUAGGUGGUUCAGUAAGAUUGGUGUGAAAUCCCCGGGCUUAACCUGGGAACUGCUUUCAUAACUGCUGAGCUAGAGUACGAUAGAGGGUAGUGGAAUUUCCUGUGUAGCGGUGAAAUGCGUAGAUACAGGAAGGAACACCAGUGGCGAAGGCGACUACCUGGACUGAUACUGACACUGAGGUGCGAAAGCGUGGGGAGCAAACA